UACAGAGGGGGCUAGCGUUGUUCGGAAUUACUGGGCGUAAAGGGCGCGUAGGUGGCCUGUUAAGUCGAACGUGAAAUCCCCGGGCUCAACCCGGGAACUGCGUCCGAGACUGGCAGGCUCGAAUCCGGGAGAGGGAUGUGGAAUUCCGAGGUGUAGCGGUGAAAUGCGUAGAUAUCUGGAGGAACACCGGUGGCGAAGGCGGCAUCCUGGACCGGUAUUGACGCUGAGGAGCGAAAGCCAGGGGAGCAAAGCGGG
rnacentral:rRNA from 1 species